rnacentral:rRNA from 1 species
UUAAGUGACUAAGCGUACACGGUGGAUGCCUUGGCAGUCAGAGGCGAUGAAAGACGUAGUAACUUGCGAUAAGCCCAGAUUAGGUAGUAACAACCAUUUGAGUCUGGGAUUUCUGAAUGGGGAAACCCACGUGCAUAAGCACGUAUCCUUACCUGAAUACAUAGGGUAAGGAGGCGAACCGGGGGAACUGAAACAUCUAAGUACCCCGAGGAAAAGAAAUCAACCGAGAUUCCGAAAGUAGCGGCGAGCGAAAUUGGACUAGCCCUUAAGCUUUACACGCGUUAGACGAACGGUCUGGAAAGUCCGACGAUACAGGGUGAUAGUCCCGUAGUUGACGACGUGUGUUCAGUGAAAUCGAGUAGGGCGGGACACGUGAUAUCCUGUCUGAAUAUGGGGGGACCAUCCUCCAAGGCUAAAUACUACUGACUGACCGAUAGUGAACCAGUACCGUGAGGGAAAGGCGAAAAGAACCCCUGUGAGGGGAGUGAAAUAGAACCUGAAACCGUGUACGUACAAGCAGUAGGAGCAGGCUUUGUCCUGUGACUGCGUACCUUUUGUAUAAUGGGUCAGCGACUUAUAUUCAGUGGCAAGGUUAACCAUCUAGGGGAGCCGUAGGGAAACCGAGUCUUAACUGGGCGUUCAGUCUCUGGAUAUAGACCCGAAACCAGGUGAUCUAGCCAUGGGCAGGUUGAAGGUUGAGUAACAUCAACUGGAGGACCGAACCGACUAAUGUUGAAAAAUUAGCGGAUGACUUGUGGCUAGGGGUGAAAGGCCAAUCAAACCUGGAGAUAGCUGGUUCUCCCCGAAAGCUAUUUAGGUAGCGCCUCGGACGAAUACUACUGGGGGUAGAGCACUGUUAAGGCUAGGGGGUCAUCCCGACUUACCAACCCUUUGCAAACUCCGAAUACCAGUAAGUACUAUCCGGGAGACACACGGCGGGUGCUAACGUCCGUCGUGGAGAGGGAAACAACCCAGACCGCCAGCUAAGGUCCCAAAUUACUACUAAGUGGGAAACGAUGUGGGAAGGCUCAGACAGCCAGGAUGUUGGCUUAGAAGCAGCCAUCAUUUAAAGAAAGCGUAAUAGCUCACUGGUCGAGUCGGCCUGCGCGGAAGAUGUAACGGGGCUAAGUAGUAAACCGAAGCUGCGGCAAUAUACUUUUGUAUAUUGGGUAGGGGAGCGUUCUGUAAGCGGUUGAAGGUGUGUGGUAACGCAUGCUGGACGUAUCAGAAGUGCGAAUGCUGACAUGAGUAACGAUAAAGGGGGUGAAAAACCUCCUCGCCGGAAGACCAAGGGUUCCUGUCCAACGUUAAUCGGGGCAGGGUAAGUCGACCCCUAAGGCGAGGCCGAAAGGCGUAGUCGAUGGGAAACGGGUUAAUAUUCCCGUACUUCUUACAAUUGCGAUGGGGGGACGGAGAAGGCUAGGUGGGCCUGGCGACGGUUGUCCAGGUUCAAGUGCGUAGGCUGAGAGAUUAGGUAAAUCCGGUUUCUCUUAAGGCUGAGACACGACGUCGAGCACCUACGGGUGUGAAGUCAUUGAUGCCAUGCUUCCAGGAAAAGCCUCUAAGCUUCAGAUUGUAAGGAAUCGUACCCCAAACCGACACAGGUGGUCGGGUAGAGAAUACCAAGGCGCUUGAGAGAACUCGGGUGAAGGAACUAGGCAAAAUGGUACCGUAACUUCGGGAGAAGGUACGCUCUCGACGGUGAAGUCCCUCGCGGAUGGAGCUAUUGAGAGUCGCAGAUACCAGGUGGCUGCAACUGUUUAUUAAAAACACAGCACUGUGCAAAAUCGUAAGAUGACGUAUACGGUGUGACGCCUGCCCGGUGCCGGAAGGUUAAUUGAUGGGGUUAGACUUCGGUCGAAGCUCUUGAUCGAAGCCCCGGUAAACGGCGGCCGUAACUAUAACGGUCCUAAGGUAGCGAAAUUCCUUGUCGGGUAAGUUCCGACCUGCACGAAUGGCGUAAUGAUGGCCACGCUGUCUCCACCCGAGACUCAGUGAAAUUGAAAUCGCUGUGAAGAUGCAGUGUACCCGCGGCUAGACGGAAAGACCCCGUGAACCUUUACUACAGCUUGGCACUGAACAUUGACCCUACAUGUGUAGGAUAGGUGGGAGGCUUUGAAGCAGGUACGCCAGUAUUUGUGGAGCCGUCCUUGAAAUACCACCCUUGUAGUGUUGAUGUUCUAACGUCGACCCCUUAUCGGGGUUGCGGACAGUGCCUGGUGGGUAGUUUGACUGGGGCGGUCUCCUCCCAAAGAGUAACGGAGGAGCACGAAGGUGGGCUAAUCACGGUUGGACAUCGUGAGGUUAGUGCAAUGGCAUAAGCCCGCUUGACUGCGAGAAUGACAAUUCGAGCAGGUGCGAAAGCAGGUCAUAGUGAUCCGGUGGUUCUGAAUGGAAGGGCCAUCGCUCAACGGAUAAAAGGUACUCCGGGGAUAACAGGCUGAUACCGCCCAAGAGUUCAUAUCGACGGCGGUGUUUGGCACCUCGAUGUCGGCUCAUCACAUCCUGGGGCUGAAGUCGGUCCCAAGGGUAUGGCUGUUCGCCAUUUAAAGUGGUACGCGAGCUGGGUUUAGAACGUCGUGAGACAGUUCGGUCCCUAUCUGCCGUGGGCGUUGGAAGAUUGAAGGGGGCUGCUCCUAGUACGAGAGGACCGGAGUGGACGAACCUCUGGUGUUCGGGUUGUGUCGCCAGACGCAUUGCCCGGUAGCUAAGUUCGGAAUCGAUAACCGCUGAAAGCAUCUAAGCGGGAAGCGAGCCCUGAGAUGAGUCUUCCCUGAUACUUUAAGUAUCCUAAAGGGUUGUCGGAGACUACGACGUUGAUAGGUCAGGUGUGUAAGUGCUGUGAGGCAUUGAGCUAACUGAUACUAAUUGCCCGUGAGGCUUAACCAU